AUUGAACGCUGGCGGCAUGCCUUACACAUGCAAGUCGAACGGUAACAGGUUAAGCUGACGAGUGGCGAACGGGUGAGUAAUGCAUCGGAACGUGCCCGAUCGUGGGGGAUAACGCAGCGAAAGCUGCGCUAAUACCGCAUACGAUCUGAGGAUGAAAGCGGGGGACCGUAAGGCCUCGCGCGAUCGGAGCGGCCGAUGUCAGAUUAGGUAGUUGGUGGGGUAAAGGCUCACCAAGCCGACGAUCUGUAGCUGGUCUGAGAGGACGACCAGCCACACUGGGACUGAGACACGGCCCAGACUCCUACGGGAGGCAGCAGUGGGGAAUUUUGGACAAUGGGCGAAAGCCUGAUCCAGCAAUGCCGCGUGCAGGAAGAAGGCCUUCGGGUUGUAAACUGCUUUUGUACGGAGCGAAAAGGCUCUCUCUAAUACAGGGGGCUCAUGACGGUACCGUAAGAAUAAGCACCGGCUAACUACGUGCCAGCAGCCGCAGUAACAC
rnacentral:rRNA from 1 species